UACAGAGGGUGCGAGCGUUAAUCGGAAUUACUGGGCGUAAAGCGUGCGUAGACGGCUAUCUAAGUCGGGUGUGAAAGCCCCGGGCUCAACCUGGGAAUUGCAUUCGAGACUGAAUAGCUAGGGUACGGUAGAGGGAAGUGGAAUUUCCGGUGUAGCGGUGAAAUGCGUAGAUAUCGGAAGGAACAUCAGUGGCGUAAGCGACUUCCUGGACCAGUACCGACGUUCAGGCACGAAAGCGUGGGGAGCAAACAGG
rnacentral:rRNA from 1 species